rnacentral:rRNA from 1 species
UACGUAGGGUGCAAGCGUUGUCCGGAUUUAUUGGGCGUAAAGAGCGUGUAGGCGGCUUUACAGGUCCGUUGUGAAAACUCGAGGCUCAACCUCGAGACGCCGGUGGAAACCGUCUGGCUAGAGUCCGGAAGAGGAGAGUGGAAUUCCUGGUGUAGCGGUGAAAUGCGCAGAUAUCAGGAAGAACACCUAUGGCGAAGGCAGCUCUCUGGGACGGUACUGACGCUGAGACGCGAAAGCAUGGGGAGCGAACAGG